GAUCAUGGCUCAGGAUGAACGCUAGCUACAGGCUUAACACAUGCAAGUCGAGGGGCAUCAGGGUGUAGCAAUACGCCGCUGGCGACCGGCGCACGGGUGAGUAACACGUAUCCAACCUGCCCUUUACUCGGGUAUAGCCUUUCGAAAGAAAGAUUAAUACCCGAUGGCAUAACAUGACCUCCUGGUUUUGUUAUUAAAGAAUUUCGGUAGAGGAUGGGGAUGCGUUCCAUUAGGCAGUUGGCGGGUAACGG
rnacentral:rRNA from 1 species